GAAUUGACGGGGGCCCGCACAAGCGGUGGAGCAUGUGGUUUAAUUCGAUGCAACGCGAAGAACCUUACCUGGUCUUGACAUCCACGGAAGUUUUCAGAGAUGAGAAUGUGCCUUCGGGAACCGUGAGACAGGUGCUGCAUGGCUGUCGUCAGCUCGUGUUGUGAAAUGUUGGGUUAAGUCCCGCAACGAGCGCAACCCUUAUCCUUUGUUGCCAGCGGUCCGGCCGGGAACUCAAAGGAGACUGCCAGUGAUAAACUGGAGGAAGGUGGGGAUGACGUCAAGUCAUCAUGGCCCUUACGACCAGGGCUACACACGUGCUACAAUGGCGCAUACAAAGAGAAGCGACCUC
rnacentral:rRNA from 1 species